CCUACGGGAGACAGCAGUGAGGAAUAUUGGUCAAUGGACGAGAGUCUGAACCAGCCAAGUAGCGUGAAGGAUGACUGCCCUAUGGGUUGUAAACUUCUUUUAUAUGGGAAUAAAAUGUUCCACGUGUGGGAUUUUGUAUGUACCAUAUGAAUAAGGCUCGGCUAACUCCGUGCCAGCAGCCGCGGUAAUACGGAGGAUCCGAGCGUUAUCCGGAUUUAUUGGGUUUAAAGGGAGCGUAGGUGGUUUGUUAAGUCAGUUGUGAAAGUGUGCGGCUCAACCGUAAAAUUGCAGUUGAAACUGGAAGUCUUGAGUGCAGGAGAGGUGAGCGGAAUUCGUGGUGUAGCGGUGAAAUGCUUAGAUAUCACGAAGAACACCGAUUGCGAAGGCAGUUCACUGGACUGCAACUGACACUGAGGCUCGAAAGUGUGGGUAGCAAACAGGAUUAGAUACCCGGGUAGUC
rnacentral:rRNA from 1 species